UGGGGAAUAUUGGACAAUGGGGCAACCCUGAUCCAGCCACGCCGCGUGAGUGAUGAAGGCCCUAGGGUUGUAAAGCUCUUUUGUGCGGGAAGAUAAUGACGGUACCGCAAGAAUAAGCCCCGGCUAACUUCGUGCCAGCAGCCGCGGUAAUACGAAGGGGGCUAGCGUUGCUCGGAAUCACUGGGCGUAAAGGGUGCGUAGGCGGGUUUCUAAGCCAGAGGUGAAAGCCUGGAGCUCAACUCCAGAACUGCCUUUGAUACUGGAAGUCUUGAGUAUGGCAGAGGUGAGUGGAACUGCGAGUGUAGAGGUGAAAUUCGUAGAUAUUCGCAAGAACACCAGUGGCGAAGGCGGCUCACUGGGCCAUUACUGACGCUGAGGCACGAAAGCGUGGGGAGCAAAACAGGAUUAGAUACCCUGGUAGUCCACGCCGUAAACGAUGAAUGCCAGCCGUUAGUGGGUUUUACUCACUAGUGGCGCAGCUAACGCUUUAAGCAUUCCGCCUGGGGAGUACGGUCGCAAGAUUAAAACUCAAAUGAAUUGACGGGGUCAUAGCUGUUUCCU
rnacentral:rRNA from 1 species